rnacentral:rRNA from 1 species
GGCGAACGCUGGCGGCGUGCUUAACACAUGCAAGUCGAACGAAGAGCGACGGAAGCUUGCUUCUAUCAAUCUUAGUGGCGAACGGGUGAGUAACGCGUAAUCAACCUGCCCUUCAGAGGGGGACAACAGUUGGAAACGACUGCUAAUACCGCAUACGAUCUAACCUCGGCAUCGAGGAUAGAUGAAAGGUGGCCUCUACAUGUAAGCUAUCACUGAAGGAGGGGAUUGCGUCUGAUUAGCUAGUUGGAGGGGUAACGGCCCACCAAGGCGAUGAUCAGUAGCCGGUCUGAGAGGAUGAACGGCCACAUUGGGACUGAGACACGGCCCAGACUCCUACGGGAGGCAGCAGUGGGGAAUCUUCCGCAAUGGACGAAAGUCUGACGGAGCAACGCCGCGUGAGUGAUGACGGCCUUCGGGUUGUAAAGCUCUGUUAAUCGGGACGAAAGGCCUUCUUGCGAAUAGUGAGAAGGAUUGACGGUACCGGAAUAGAAAGCCACGGCUAACUACGUG